rnacentral:lncRNA from 1 species
CAGACACCUAAUCUUGUUUCAGGGUUUGCUUGACCUCAGGCAUUUAUCUCCUGGUUGUCAUGGAAUCUGCUCAGAUAAACAGCAGCACACCAACCUGGCCCCUCUGCCAGCCUCAGAUCCUUCUAAGGCAGUGGAGCUCCCUGGUGGCCACCAGCCACCCGGGCUCCAGGCAGCCCAACACACACUCCCAUGCUGAGGUCUCUCGCAUGACCUCUCUAGGCACACAGUAGGUGCUCAGUAAAUGCUGUGGCAUGAAGGACCCUCCUGGAGUGUCUGAGUUCUCAGGCUUCAAGGCCCCUAGAUAAGCAGAUUUCUCUCCCCUAUCACCAUAGUCACCCCAGGGACUGCAGGGCAGGCCGAAAUCAGCCAGUGACUCAGCUCCUUGGGCAAUUCAGCUGGCCCACAGACCACUUCCUCUGCUCCCCAGCGCCGGAUGGAUGCAGAUCUGUGAGUAAGGAGCCAGCUGCAGGCAAGCAGCUCGAGGGCAGGUGGGCAUGAUGUCUGGCUACCACUCGCACUGGACGCCACACACACAGCCAGGGUGGCAGAAGGCCCCACCUGCCAUGUGCCAGUGGGACACCACCCUCAUGGUCUGCGUUUCCAGGUUUCCAACUAAGGACUGAGCACACUCUCAACAUGGACCUCCUAACUGCUCUCGAGGAUGGACAGCUGGCCUCAAGGGAACACUGCAAAGUGGCUCUAGGAAGAAGCCACUGUCCCUCCAGACCAUAAAAAUGGCUACCAAGGGCAGAGCCAGCAGCUUUCGCUGUAAAGUUUCUCAAGAAAAUCACAGAUAUUCCCCUCUGUGAUGUUCAGCUCAGCCUGGAAAGGAGAGGUAGAAACUGAGAGUUGAAGAGGCUGAAUAAUUUCUCAAGCACACUCCCAACUCGACCACCCACAAGCAAAAAGGCAGAGCUGGGAUUCAAACACAGGUAUGACUGUGUGUGGACAUCUCCCCUGUGCUAUGCUCCCUGAAGGAAAAUUCUAAGUGGUGUUGUUUCUGGGAGAAAUCUACCUGUGUGGUCUUUAAACCUACUCUGACAGGAGCAAGGGCCACCACUCUGUAUCUAAGACCACUGGGAACAGUCUUCAGGCAACAAGGUGACCAGGGCAGCUGCAGAGGGUAUCUAUGCCCCUGCCCCCUAGCGCAAAAGUCUGUUUCUCUUUCCAAAUGGCCCGCUGGGAGCAACUAUUUAGGGAGACCAUACCUCCUCCCACACUCAGUUCCCAGGCCUGAGCCACAGAGUCCUGCCACAGGAGGGAGGACCUGCCUGUCCUGCUCCCUCCCCACUCCAGGUUCCUGGAGGCCUCUGUGAUGAUUCCCCAGGAAGGACUACAGGAUCUGGCAGGCAGCAGGUGGCGGUGGGAGGAGGAGAGUCCUGGGAGCACAGCACUCCUAACCCCCUCUGCCUCUCACAGAACAAAGAGGGAGUCAUGCCAUGUCCCCUGCUCCCACAAAUGCCCCACCCAGAGGGGCUAAUGCCUAGGAUUGAGGGUCUUGUGUGCUGAGGAAGUCCUGUCCCCCAAUCCCCUACAAAAGCCAGAACCAGCUACUAAGGGGUUAGACACAGACAGAACUGUCUAUAUUAACAUUUCCUCCUAAAAAACAACAGGAAUCCUGGGGAAAGACCACUGGCCUGGGACUCCAUGAGCCCUGGCUUCUAUCUCUGGCUUUAUCAGGUGACCAUAGGCAAGUCACCUAGCCUCCAUGGUCUAGGCUCUCCUGCCUGUUGGGUGGGAAUCAUUACAUAUCACAAUCAUUACAGCUGACCUUCAGGGAGGCUGUACUCUGGGUCAGGAAUUGUGUUGGGUGCAUUAUCAUAUUUAUUCUCACAGCACCCUUUGCAGUAGCUACUAUUUUCAUACCCAUUCUCAGAUGAGGAAACUGUGGAACAGGCUGGUUAGGGGACAUGCCCAAAGUGACAAACUUAGCAAAGGUGGACCUGGCACUCAGUACCACAUCUGUUUUUCCAUGCUCUUAACCACUGUAACAUACAGAGCCCUUUUACAGAGAUCAAGGACAGAGGUAAAAGUGUUUUGAAAGCAAAAAAAAAAAAGUGGGGAGGAUGCAUAAAAUAAACAUAAAUCACCCCCUGCCCCGCCCAGACAUAAUUCAGGGAAGAGUCCUAACCCCCAAGAACCUUCUGUGGAACUUAUUCGCAACAUCAGAGACCUCCAACAUAGAAAUGACCCUCAAUAAGUCAUUCCUCUUUCCCUUCAGGCAGGAAUAAUAUAACUAACUGAAUUAUACAGGUGAGACCACGAAGGUCAAGCAAGGGUGACCAGCUUAGGCCCCUGGCUGGCAGGUAAGGAGGAGACUGACCCCAGCCUCCUGGCUCCUAGGGGAGGAAACAGUGAUGACAAAGGCCCCUUUGCAUGGCCAAGGUGGAGCCCUUUCUACCAAAGUUUAAACGUUUUAGUAUAAUAUCCAAGUGCAUCUUUUCCAACCUUAAAAACAUAUUUAAUUUCCUUAUAAAGCUGGUUGGCACUCUCCUCCUCCUCCAAAGCUCUGUAUUAGGCAGGGUUCAUAGUUGUAGACAACAGAAUGAACAGUGGUUAGUUCAGCCAGAAAAGGGAUGAUAUAGGAGGAUACUGGGUUGAUCAAAGGCUCUCUGGGAGGGCUGCAGAUUUAGAGCCAGUCAGCCAGGAACGAUGCCUGAAACAUACCUUAGAGCUGGAGAAAGAACAAAACCCUACCUUUCUUCAAUAGCUGGCAAGGUGGCAAGGUCUGGCCCCAUGCAGCCUGGGCUCUUCCCACUCUCCUCUCUCCCUAAUGCGUUGCCCUACUCGCUGCUUCCCAGGCAAUCCCACCUCAGGUCUAUGAACUUGCCAUUCCCUCUGCCUGCAACCUAGACAUUCACAUUGCUAGCUCCCUGGCUAGCUCAAAUGCCAGGUUUCUGCACAAAUGCUCCUCCUUAGAGAGGCCUUCCUGGACCUCUAGGUCUCUGGCCCUAGUACUCUAUCCCCUCUCCCUGCUUUCCUCUUCUACUUCACUGCUCCUUAACAUUGUGUUAUACAUUGUCUGUCUCCCCAACUGGAAUGUAAGUGGCACCAGGGCAGGGACUUGGGUUGUUUUGUUCCUUGCUGUAAGCCCAGGGCCCAGGGCCAGACCUGGAACAAUUAGGUGCUAAGUUAUUUGCUGAAUAUUCUAUGAAGGAAUGACAAAGGAAUGCAUAAAGAACUUCAAAGUUCAACUCCUCGAACUUCAAACUUCAAAUCCCCAACUCCUCCUGCCUAUGCUGGACGAUUAGGGCAGUAACAGGAGUCAACUUGUGCUGUGCUGUCACCUUGCCUGGAUCCGCAUCAGCCCUGCAGCUCCCACUUUGGAGGAGACUUGCCCAGGGACCUACAGCUCUGAAGCUUCUCUGACAGCCUCUGCAGCUCUUGGAACUUAUCUGGGCUGCUGCUGUGCAGACCAUGGAUGCAUAGCUGAGUUCCUGCCCCUGAUUUCCUAGAGUCUCAGAAAGACAGGGAAGUGACUUACCCAAAGUCCCCUUUCACCCUAUAAACAGUUCAGCCCAGGGAGUGAGGCUGACACGCAAAUGCAGCUAUGUAUAGACUCAGAGUCAUCCAAGGUCAGGGCUGGGUGGAGCCUUGGUCACAUGCAGGCCAACCUGUGUCUGGAGAUAAUGCAAGCCAGUGCAGGGGUUAGCGUGUACAUGGACUCUGGAGUCUGGCAGAUCUAAGCCCCACCCACCAACCUGUGACCUUGGAGAAUUAUUUGAAAAGACAUUAUUUGAAAAGCAGAUGUAAAAUGGAAAUAAAAGUUCCUAUUUAAAACAGUCAGUUGUCCCCCAUUCAGAAGCCUAUUACAGUUGUCCCUUAGCAUCUUCGAGGAAUUGGUUCCAGGACAGCUCCUCAGAUACCAAAAGCCACGAUGCUCAAAUUCCUUAUAAAAAGUGACGUAGGGCUGGGUACAAUGGCUCGUGCCUGUAAUCCCAGCACUUUGGGAGACCGAGGUGGGCAGCUCACUUGAGGUCAGGAGUUCAAGACCAGCCUCGCCAACAUGGUGAAACCCCGUCUCCUCUAAAAAUACAAAAAAUAGGCGGGCUUGGUGGCAUGCACUUGUAGUCCCAGCCACUCGGGAGGCUGAGGCAUGAGAAUUGCAUGGAUCCGGGAGGCGGAGGUUGCAGUGAGCCAAGAUCGUGCCACCGCACUCCAGCCUGGGUGACAGAGCGAGAAUCCGUCUCAAAAAAAGAAAAAGAAAAGAAAAGAGGUUUGGCUCACAGUUCUGUAGACUGUACAAGUGUGGCACCAGCAUCUGCUUGGCUUCUGGUCAGGCCUCAGGAUGCUCACAAUCAUGGUGAAAGGUAAAGGGGGAGCUGGCAUGUCACAUGGCACAAGAAGGAGCAAGAAAGGGGAGGAGGUGCCAAGCCUCCUUUAAACAACCAGCUCUCGCCUGAACAGAGUAAGAACUCACUCAUUACCUCGGGGAGGGCACCAAACCAUUCAUGAGGGAUCCAGCCCCAUGACCCAAACACCUCCCACCAGGCCCCACCUCCAAUGCUGGCGAUCACAUUUCAACAUGAGAUUUGGAAGAGACAUGCAUCCAAACCAUAUCAAGCAGUGUCCCUGUCAAAAGCACACCCUGUGCACAGGCUGGAUCAUGGGUAGUUGGCAGGGACAGGAGGCAGGGUGAAGCUGGAGAAGCAGUGUAGGUGACCCUUGCAUGACACUCCCAGCCACAAGAGGAGUUCGAGCCUUAACCCUGGAGAACUGGAGCACCACACAAGGGUCUUAGGCAGAGGAUUAAUGCAUUUAGAUGUGUACUUUUAAAAGAUUAUCUAUGUAGGCUGAGUAAUGGCCCUGCCAAAGAUGUCUAUGUGUGAAUCCCUGGAGGUUGUGUGUAUGUUCCCCUAUAUGGCAUAAGGGACAUUGCAAAUGUGAUCGAGUUAAGGGUCCUGAGAACCGGAGAUUAUCCAGGUGGGCCCAACAUAAUCACAAGUGUCCUUAUAAGAGGGAGGCAGGGGGAGAUCUGACUUCAGAUGAGGAGCCUCAGAAUGAUGUGGCACGAGAAAGACUUGGCUUCGAAGAGGAGGAAGGGGCCCUGAGCCAGGGAAUGCAGUGGCCUCUAGAAGCUGGAAAAAGCAACAAAACGAUUCUCCUCUAGAGCCUCCAGAAGGAACGCAGCCCUGCCAAAGCCUUAAUUUCAGGACUUCUAAAAGAGUAAAUUUGUGUUGUUUUAAGGCACUGAUUUUGUGGUAAUUUGUUACAGCAGCAAUAGGAGAAUAGGACAUACUAGCUCCUGUAAAAAACCAGACUGGACGUAAGGGCGAGGCGAGGCAGGGACCAGCUAGAGGUCACUGCUGUGGUCCAGGCAAGAGGUGUGAGAGCUUGCACCACAGUGGUGGCCGUGGGGAUGGAGAGGAGUGGUGCAGUUGAAGGACCCCAGCAGGGGAAGAGCUGACCAGUCAAAGGUCUCGCUGCAAUCUGGCAGAUGUUACUGGAAUGCCACAACAGGCCUCUUUCAGGCUCAGGCCCUGGCUGGCUCACCCUGGCUACAGCCCAGCAGCUUUACAGAAGGAGGAAGCUCACACCAGGGCUGUAGACCACUCCCAGGCAGAUGCACCAUUUACUCACUUAACCUGCCAACCCCAUUCCCACAAAAAAGUUCAAGAGUCUCCAGGAACAAGCCCUAAGAAAGAACACGUGGGGAAUUUUUACUAGGCAAAAGGUAGCAAUUAUUUCUGCCAAGCAUUAAGCCUUGCAGCGAACUUUUUUUUUUUUUUUCCGUGAACAGAGAUUUUGUAAUUCUGGAAGAGAGGUGUCCAGAUUUAAAUAUACACAUCUCCAACACAGGUGAUACAGAACCAUGAUUAAAUCUAACAUCUAAAAACUUCAUGGUCAGCAGAAAAUGCAGAAAUUAAAGAAAGACUAAACAAGAAACUAGGAGACUCAGCGUCUACUCUAUUCUUGCUUAAUAAUCCAGACCUACUUAAAAAAUGGGAUCCUAAUUUGGUCCUGUUUAAUGGAGCUGUCAAGAAGAAAAAGCAAUAAAAAUUAUUCGAGAGAAUUUUAGAAACAUUCUCCCAUUCUACUCCAAAAAUAUAAAUAUGCACACUCCAAAACCAAGUACCUUGGACUGUACUGAGAGAUGACAAUGACGUCUUAACCGUACUAUUUCCCCAUGAUGUUGCAGCAGGCCACAGGGACCUAACUGAAUUGUAAGAACAUGAAAGGACCCAGGAAUGCCUGCAGAUGACAAAAUACCAGGUAGUCCUGUCAGUGUAGGAGCAUGUUAAUUUAAAAAUAGAUAUAUUUUUCUGGUGACAAAAGUGACAUGUCUAUUACUGGAAAACACAAACAACUCCUGUAGUCCAAUGAUCCAGAGAUAACCCAUUUGGAAAUAUUUUCUUCCAGUCUUUUUUCCCCAUUGAUUUCGGCACAGGCGCGCGCACACACACACACACACACACACACACACUCAUACUUCAUUUUUAACAAAAUUACAAUACUGUAUAUACUUUUAUAACCAGUUUUAUAUAACAGUAUAUAAUCCUCCAUGUAUUAAAUACAGUUUUUCAUAAUGCUAGUAUUCCAUCAUAUGAAAGUAGGAAAAUCACUUAACCAAUCCCUAAUUGCUGAACAACUGAGUAGUUUCUAACUUUAUGGUAACAUAAGUCAUUGGGAGGAACCUCCUCAUCUACGGGAAUAUCCCUAGAUAUAAAUCUAUGUCUAUAGCUCUGAUUAUUUCCUUAGGGUCCUAUUUCCUACAUCCAUGCAUUGCCAUUACUAUUUUGCUAUAAUUAAUUACCAUCUGUAAUGUACUUAACAUUUCUCUUUACAUCAACUCAUUUCUGUCCUUAAACAAAUGUAUUUUAAAAGCAAACCUGACUCGGUGUAGUGGCUCACACCUGUAAUCCUAGCACUUUGGGAAAACAAGGCAGGCGGAUUGCCUGAGCUCAAGAGUUCAAGACCAGCCUGGGCAACAUGGCGAAACCCCGUCUGUACUAAAAAUACAAAAAAUCAGCCGGGUGUGGUGGUGCGUGCCUGUAGUCCCAGCUACUCAAGAGGCUGAGGCACAAGAAUCGCUUGAACCUAUGAAGCAGAAGUUGCAGUGAGCCAAGAUCAUGCCACUGCACUCUAGCCUGGACAACAGGACAAGACUCUGUCUCAAAAAACAAACAAACAAACAAACAAACCUUAUUUAAGUGGAAAACCAACAUCAUAUGCCAUAAAUGAAGGCAAUCAUAAUAGGUUUUAUUGGAAUAAAAAAACACUGUGGUUAAAAUAUAGUCAAAAUACUGCUACCCCUUUGCCCAUUCUUUUAUAUAAAAUGGGAGAUUAGAGAGGCUUAGAGAGGUGUUAAAGGUAUGCUAGCACCAAGCUAAAGUUUUUCACCUUCCGUUGAUCAGAAGACUGAAAAGGAAUUGAGCAUGGGAAUAACUUUCUCACUGUGAGUCAGUGUUAGACAAUGUGGCAAAUGUGUCCCAACUAGAAUUACCCUGCGCCACCUGAAAUAACCUCAUAUGAAAACAUGCCUUAGGACAUAUUCCUGGAAGUAGAACUGGGAUAAAAGGCAUGGACACUUUAAGCAGCUUCUGAUAACCACAGCCCAAACACCAUCCAAGUUAGUUUUACCACAGUUUUACUAUGACUGUGUCCAUUUUACUUCACGUUCACAAAUAUUAAGUACUAUAAACAAAAUAUUAAAAUAGUUAAAACGUUUCAGCUUUUUGAUGUAAAAUAUCCAGCAGCUGAAUCUUCAAAGGCUAUUUUCAUGCUCUUCUAGCUAGUCCCUGACCCUAGGGCAGGGCUAUUUUAUGAACCUUUAAUUAGUGGUAAGCUUACAACAAACUGAUACUGC